rnacentral:rRNA from 1 species
GAGCUUGCUCCUUUGACGUUAGCGGCGGACGGGUGAGUAACACGUGGGUAACCUACCUAUAAGACUGGAAUAACUCCGGGAAACCGGGGCUAAUGCCGGAUAACAUAUCGAACCGCAUGGUUCGAUAGUGAAAGACGGUCUUGCUGUCACUUAUAGAUGGACCCGCGCCGUAUUAGCUAGUUGGUGAGGUAACGGCUCACCAAGGCAACGAUACGUAGCCGACCUGAGAGGGUGAUCGGCCACACUGGAACUGAGACACGGUCCAGACUCCUACGGGAGGCAGCAGUAGGGAAUCUUCCGCAAUGGGCGAAAGCCUGACGGAGCAACGCCGCGUGAGUGAUGAAGGUCUUCGGAUCGUAAAGCUCUGUUGUUAGGGAAGAACAAAUGUGUAAGUAACUGUGCACAUCUUGACGGUACCUAACCAGAAAGCCACGGCUAACUACGUGCCAGCAGCCGCGGUAAUACGUAGGUGGCAAGCGUUAUCCGGAAUUAUUGGGCGUAAAGCGCGCGUAGGCGGUUUUUUAAGUCUGAUGUGAAAGCCCACGGCUCAACCGUGGAGGGUCAUUGGAAACUGGAAAACUUGAGUGCAGAAGAGGAAAGUGGAAUUCCAUGUGUAGCGGUGAAAUGCGCAGAGAUAUGGAGGAACACCAGUGGCGAAGGCGGCUUUCUGGUCUGUAACUGACGCUGAUGUGCGAAAGCGUGGGGGAUCAAACAGGAUUAGAUACCCUGGUAGUCCACGCCGUAAACGAUGAGUGCUAAGUGUUAGGGGGUUUCCGCCCCUUAGUGCUGCAGCUAACGCAUUAAGCACUCCGCC